UGCAGUCGAGCGAAUCUUUGGGAGCUUGCUCCUAAAGAUUAGCGGCGGACGGGUGAGUAACACGUGGGCAACCUACCUUACAGAUGGGGAUAACUCCGGGAAACCGGGGCUAAUACCGAAUAAUCCAUUUCUUCGCAUGAAGAGAUGUUGAAAGACGGUUUCGGCUGUCACUGUGAGAUGGGCCCGCGGCGCAUUAGUUAGUUGGUGGGGUAACGGCCUACCAAGACCACGAUGCGUAGCCGACCUGAGAGGGUGAUCGGCCACACUGGGACUGAGACACGGCCCAGACUCCUACGGGAGGCAGCAGUAGGGAAUCUUCCACAAUGGACGAAAGUCUGAUGGAGCAACGCCGCGUGAGUGAAGAAGGUUUUCGGAUCGUAAAGCUCUGUUGUAAGGGAAGAACACGUACAGGAGUAACUGCCUGUACCUUGACGGUACCUUACCAGAAAGCCACGGCUAACUACGUGCCAGCAGCCGCGGUAAUACGUAGGUGGCAAGCGUUGUCCGGAAUUAUUGGGCGUAAAGCGCGCGCAGGCGGUCCUUUAAGUCUGAUGUGAAAGCCCACGGCUCAACCGUGGAGGGUCAUUGGAAACUGGAGGACUUGAGUACAGAAGAGGAAAGCGGAAUUCCACGUGUAGCGGUGAAAUGCGUAGAGAUGUGGAGGAACACCAGUGGCGAAGGCGGCUUUCUGGUCUGUAACUGACGCUGAGGCGCGAAAGCGUGGGGAGCCAACAGGAUUAGAUACCCUGGUAGUCCACGCCGUAAACGAUGAGUGCUAAGUGUUAGGGGGUUUCCGCCCCUUAGUGCUGC
rnacentral:rRNA from 1 species